rnacentral:rRNA from 1 species
GACGAACGCUGGCGGCGUGCUUAACACAUGCAAGUCGAACGGACAGGCCCUGCUUUUGUGGGGUGCUCGAGUGGCGAACGGGUGAGUAACACGUGAGUAACCUGCCCUUGACUUUGGGAUAACUUCAGGAAACUGGGGCUAAUACCGGAUAGGAGCUCCUGCUGCAUGGUGGGGGUUGGAAAGUUUCGGCGGUUGGGGAUGGACUCGCGGCUUAUGAGCUUGUUGGUGGGGUAGUGGCUUACCAAGGCUUUGACGGGUAGCCGGCCUGAGAGGGUGACCGGCGACAUUGGGACUGAGAUACGGCCCAGACUCCUACGGGAGGCAGCAGUGGGGAAUAUUGCACAGUGGGCGGAAGCCUGAUGCAGCAACGCCGCGUGCGGGAUGACGGCCUUCGGGUUGUAAACCGCUUUCGCCUGUGACGAAGCGUGAGUGACGGUAAUGGGUAAAGAAGCACCGGCUAACUACGUG